rnacentral:rRNA from 1 species
GAUGAACGCUGGCGGCGUGCCUAAUACAUGCAAGUCGAGCGAACAGACGAGGAGCUUGCUCCUCUGACGUUAGCGGCGGACGGGUGAGUAACACGUGGAUAACCUACCUAUAAGACUGGGAUAACUUCGGGAAACCGGAGCUAAUACCGGAUAAUAUAUUGAACCGCAUGGUUCAAUAGUGAAAGACGGUUUUGCUGUCACUUAAAGAUGGAUCCGCGCCGCAUUAGCUAGUUGGUAAGGUAACGGCUUACCAAGGCGACGAUGCGUAGCCGACCUGAGAGGGUGAUCGGCCACACUGGAACUGAGACACGGUCCAGACUCCUACGGGAGGCAGCAGUAGGGAAUCUUCCGCAAUGGGCGAAAGCCUGACGGAGCAACGCCGCGUGAGUGAUGAAGGUCUUCGGAUCGUAAAACUCUGUUAUUAGGGAAGAACAAAUGUGUAAGUAACUAUGCACGUCUUGACGGUACCUAAUCAGAAAGCCACGGCUAACUACGUG